GAUGCCAAGUUAAGGCUGGCAAGACUGGACCAGUUGUGUGUCAAUCGAAGGCUGCACUUAAGAAUCCACCGUGAAGACAAGUCCUACCAGUGAUUGACAGCCCCCAGGGUGAAAAUGACAAUGCACAAAGUCCUUCAAGCUCAAGAACCACAGAUGAGCCUCUGUGGCUGCCUGAAAGGAGGAGAAUGUUCAAACACUGUCACUAUUGUGUCUCACAUCCUCGCGAAACAAGCAGAACAAAUCAGGAAGGUUCUGGACUUCCAACUGGGUGCCAAUCCUUGUACCUGCAAC